UACGUAGGGGGCAAGCGUUGUCCGGAUUCAUUGGGCGUAAAGAGCGUGUAGGCGGCCAGGUAGGUCGGUUGUGAAAACUGGAGGCUCAACCUUCAGAGGUCGACCGAAACCAUCUGGCUAGAGUCCGGGAGAGGAGAGUGGGAAUUCCUGGUGUAGCGGUGAAAUGCGCAGAUAUCAGGAAGAACACCCGUGGCGAAAGCGGCUCUCUGGAACGGUACUGACGCUGAAGACGCGAAAGCG
rnacentral:rRNA from 1 species